GAACGUCGUGAGACAGUUCGGUCCCUAUCUGCCGUGGGUGUAGGAUACUUGAGAGGAGUUGCCCCUAGUACGAGAGGACCGGGGUGAACGAUCCACUGGUGGACCUGUUGUGGCGCCAGCCGCAGUGCAGGGUAGCUAUGAUCGGAAAGGAUAACCGCUGAAGGCAUCUAAGCGGGAAGCCCCCCUCAAAACAAGGUAUCCCUGAGGGCCGUGGUAGACCACCACGUCGAUAGGCCGGAGGUGUAAGCGCAGCAAUGCGUUCAGCUGACCGGUACUAAUGG
rnacentral:rRNA from 12 species